rnacentral:tRNA from 1 species
UUCCCUGGGGUCCAGUGGUUAGGUCUCUGCACUUCCACUGCAGGGGGCACGGGUUUCAAUUCCUGUUUGGGGAA